UACGGGGGGGGCAAGCGUUGUUCGGAAUUACUGGGCGUAAAGGGCCAGUAGGCGGCCAACUAAGUCGGACGUGAAAUCCCCAGGCUCAACCUGGGAACUGCGUCCGAUACUGGAUGGCUUGAAUUCGGGAGAGGGAUGCAGAAUUCCAGGUGUAGCGGUGAAAUGCGUAGAUAUCUGGAGGAAUACCGGUGGCGAAGGCAGCCCCCUGGGAUAACACUGACGCUCAUGCACGAAAGCGUGGGGAGCAAACAGG
rnacentral:rRNA from 1 species